rfam:Fulmarus glacialis contig16491, whole genome shotgun sequence.
AAAAAGGUUUUUUUGGAAACCACUGGCUUUGGGUUUAAAAGAAAAU